rnacentral:rRNA from 1 species
CACGUAGGGCGCAAGCGUUGUCCGGAAUUAUUGGGCGUAAAGAGCUCGUAGGCGUUCUGUUGCGUCCGCUGUGAAAACUCGGGGCUUAACCCCGAGCCUGCAGUGGAUACGGGCAGACUAGAGGUAGGUAGGGGAGAAUGGAAUUCCUGGUGUAGCGGUGAAAUGCGCAGAUAUCAGGAAGAACACCAAUGGCGAAGGCAGCUCUCUGGGACGGUACUGACGCUGAGACGCGAAAGCGUGGGGAGCGAACAGG